UACGGAGGGGGCUAGCGUUGUUCGGAAUUACUGGGCGUAAAGGGCGCGUAGGCGGGCGAUCAAGUCAGGGGUGAAAGGCCUGGGCUCAACCUGGGAAUUGCCUUUGAAACUGAUUGUCUAGAGUCCGGAAGAGGAUGGCGGAAUUCCCAGUGUAGAGGUGAAAUUCGUAGAUAUUGGGAAGAACACCAGUGGCGAAGGCGGCCAUCUGGUCCGGUACUGACGCUGAGGCGCGAAAGCGUGGGGAGCAAACAGG
rnacentral:rRNA from 1 species